AAGAAGGCAGCCAUAAGAUCCCUGGUUGAAAGAGCUAACACGCAUUGUAAUACAGGAGGGGUCUUACACGAGGAAAUUCAAAAUAUAGUCGAGAUAGCUGCCAACCACGGAUAUAAACCCUCUAUCGUAGAUAAGAUAAGAAUGGAAGUCACUAACCGCAAUUGCAAACGAUUGGAGAUUACAGCAACUAAUCCGACCCAUAUACAGGCACCAAUGCCGCAGGAAGCAUCGAAUUAUGAAGUUAUACCAGCCGCAUUAGGGACUUCCAGAGUAAUAAGAACCCUCCUAAAAAAACGGAACAAGAAACCUGCGUAUAAAAGACCCUCUACGAUUUUUGACAUGUUA
rnacentral:lncRNA from 1 species